rnacentral:tRNA from 1 species
UCGCCCUUUCAAGGCGGUAGCACGGGUUCGAAUCCCGUUGGGGGCA